rnacentral:rRNA from 1 species
UACGGAGGGGGCUAGCGUUGUUCGGAAUUACUGGGCGUAAAGCGCACGUAGGCGGACCAGAAAGUUGGGGGUGAAAUCCCGGGGCUCAACCUCGGAACUGCCUUCAAAACUAUUGGUCUUGAGUUCGAGAGAGGUGAGUGGAAUUCCGAGUGUAGAGGUGAAAUUCGUAGAUAUUCGGAGGAACACCAGUGGCGAAGGCGGCUCACUGGCUCGAUACUGACGCUGAGGUGCGAAAGCGUGGGGAACAAACAGG